UCAUGCUCAUGAUCUCGCCGUCCC
rnacentral:siRNA from 1 species